rnacentral:rRNA from 1 species
GACGAACGCUGGCGGCGUGCUUAGCACAUGCAAGUCGAACGGAAAGGCCCUGCUUUUGUGGGGUGCUCGAGUGGCGAACGGGUGAGUAACACGUGAGUAACCUGCCCUUGACUUUGGGAUAACUUCAGGAAACUGGGGCUAAUACCGGAUAGGAGCUCCUGCUGCAUGGUGGGGGUUGGAAAGUUUCGGCGGUUGGGGAUGGACUCGCGGCUUAUCAGCUUGUUGGUGGGGUAGUGGCUUACCAAGGCUUUGACGGGUAGCCGGCCUGAGAGGGUGACCGGCCACAUUGGGACUGAGAUACGGCCCAGACUCCUACGGGAGGCAACAGUGGGGAAUAUUGCACAAUGGGCGGAAGCCUGAUGCAGCAACGCCGCGUGCGGGAUGACGGCCUUCGGGUUGUAAACCGCUUUCGCCUGUGACGAAGCGUGAGUGACGGUAAUGGGUAAAGAAGCACCGGCUAACUACGU